GGAGGCAGCAGUGAGGAAUAUUGGUCAAUGGGCGAGAGCCUGAACCAGCCAAGUAGCGUGAAGGAUGACUGCCUAUGGGUUGUAAACUUCUUUUAUAAAGGAAUAAGUCGGGUAUGCAUACCCGUUUGCAUGUACUUUAUGAAUAAGGAUCGGCUAACUCCGUGCCAGCAGCCGCGGUAAUACGGAGGAUCCGAGCGUUAUCCGGAUUUAUUGGGUUUAAAGGGAGCGUAGAUGGAUGUUUAAGUCAGUUGUGAAAGUUUGCGGCUCAACCGUAAAAUUGCAGUUGAUACUGGAUAUCUUGAGUGCAGUUGAG
rnacentral:rRNA from 1 species